rnacentral:rRNA from 1 species
UACGUAGGGGGCUAGCGUUGUCCGGAAUCAUUGGGCGUAAAGCGCGCGUAGGCGGUCAGGUAAGUCCGGUGUGAAAGUCAAAGGCUCAACCUUUGAAUGCCGCUGGAUACUGCUUGACUUGAGUCCGGAAGGGGCGAGUGGAAUUCCUGGUGUAGCGGUGAAAUGCGCAGAUAUCAGGAGGAACACCAAUGGCGAAGGCAGCUCGCUGGAACGGUACUGACGCUGAGGUGCGAAAGCGUGGGGAGCAAACAGG